GACGAACGCUGGCGGCGUGCCUAAUACAUGCAAGUUGAGCGAUGAAGAUUGGUGCUUGCACCAAUUUGAAGAGCAGCGAACGGGUGAGUAACGCGUGGGGAAUCUGCCUUUGAGCGGGGGACAACAUUUGGAAACGAAUGCUAAUACCGCAUAACAACUUUAAACAUAAGUUUUAAGUUUGAAAGAUGCAAUUGCAUCACUCAAAGAUGAUCCCGCGUUGUAUUAGCUAGUUGGUGAGGUAAAGGCUCACCAAGGCGAUGAUACCUAGCCGACCUGAGAGGGUGAUCGGCCACAUUGGGACUGAGACACGGCCCAAACUCCUACGGGAGGCAGCAGUAGGGAAUCUUCGGCAAUGGACGAAAGUCUGACCGAGCAACGCCGCGUGAGUGAAGAAGGUUUUCGGAUCGUAAAACUCUGUUGGUAGAGAAGAACGUUGGUGAGAGUGGAAAGCUCAUCAAGUGACGGUAACUACCCAGAAAGGGACGGCUAACUACG
rnacentral:rRNA from 1 species